AUGGCGGUGGAGGAGGAGGAGGAGGUAGACAACACUGUUUUUAAAUAUAUAUAUAUAUAUAUAUAUAUAUAUUAUUUUUUUAAUUGGGGUAGCCCCCAAAAUAUUGGGACAUUGUUCCGCAGAGUAGCUGUUAACAUUAUAGUUGCGCAGGAACUUUGUUGACUCUAGAGAACCUUGGGCAAAUCGCACAUCCCCAUGGCGGCGACUUUGCAUGCAGAUGUCAUCCAUAUCAACUUUCGAUGCCAGUUUCUGCGCCUACCAUGGUGACCAUGGGUAACGGGGAAUCAGGGUCCCGUUCCAUACAGGUACCCUGAGAAACAGCUACCACAUACAAGGAAGGCA